CAAGCAAUUCUCCUGCCCAGCCUCCUGAGUAGCUGGGACUACAGGCAUGUACCACCACACCUGUCUAAUUUUUGUAUUUUUAGUAGAGACGGUUUUGCCAUCCCUGCUUAGACAGUGUUGGCUUUCUGCAGUCAUUUUGGAAAGGAAAGAAAUGUUCCUUCAUUUAAACAACCCAAGACGAGACUUCCUUUCAAGAGGCACAAUGGCAUAGUGCUUCAGAGAGCGACCUGGAUGUUAAGAUACUUUUAGGUUUAUUAAAUCCAUGUGUCAACAGCAUUUAACAGUUAUGUGGCGUUCGCAAGUCCCUUAACCUUUGUAAGCAACAAAAUAAAUCACUUGUAUUUUAUCUGUGGUCAGGAUGGCCCAGGAGAAGACACGGCCUUCUCAGCCAAAGGGAACUGAGGAGCUAAUUAAAUAUGGGAACAGUUGCUGCUUGGAGUGUUGAGAAAGCAGCUCCAGACCCAGGCCCUAUCCACAGCCUCCCGUUUUACAUUUCCCAGGUCCCCCCACCUUUGCACUGCAGCUUGUGUGGGUAAGGAUACUGGUAGACCUGGAAUGGGGGUCUUAGCAUGGGUAAAUCUGAAUUUCUCUAAGCCCCUUCCUGUUUCCUUUCAGUAUGCUGGGAAUUACAACAGCCCUCACAGGGUUGUUAAGAUUAAUGAGCACAUACUGCUAACAGCAUAUAUUAAUAGCUUGGCAAAACAGGAUGAAAACUAAAAUUUAUUUUGCAGCAGAAUUCCCCUUAGGAACAGAUCUAGUUUGUUGGAUAAAUACUUUGAUGAACUGCUUGAGGGAUUGCAGUGGCACCAAGAUGAGAGAAGGAAGAUGGCACCCUAGGGGAACUUGGUGGUAGGGGAGGUGUUCUGACUGGUUACUGGCUUUGAUGUUAAUAAAGAUCUUUAAAUAAGGGCAGAGUUUUAGAGAUGGAGGUGGGUGAAGGCAACACCGAUGGGCAGCUGCAGGGGAGGGCAGCUUGAGGGGUUCGGGGAAGCACAAAUGUCCAUGAGCAUUCUAGUCUUGUUACCCUGUGUGGGUUGAGUGAAUUUUCAUCUACCCAGAGUAUUCAGUGCAACCAUCUAUUUCACUAAUGUGCUUGGAGUUGUUAUUUUUAGGGGAUGCAUAUAAGUGCUCUGACUGUUUCAAGGAGGGUAAGGGUGAAAGCAGACUGCCCAGAGAGAGUUUCAUCAUCUCUGGAUUAUGUGCAUGCCUUGCUGUUUAAACCAGAAAUCAAUCAAAUGUAGGUGAUAGCAAAUUAUGCUGCUCCUUAUGUUGAACCUCCAUGCCUCCACUGUGGCCAAAAUCAAGCCUCUGUGUAAUUCCCCAUUCAGAAAUAAGAAAAGAACUCUAUUCUUGAAAAUAACUGCAGAUAACAGCUUGGCCAGGAAAUCACAAAAGGUAGCAUGUGUGAGAUACUUGUCACUGCUCAGAAUUUUGAAAUUGCAUUCCAAGCUGUUGGAUUCGAGUUUGAUUAAGUGAGGCCAAACUGGGGCAAGAUCAAUCACAUCGUCAAAGAAUUACACACAUACUCCACGUGGCCACAUUGCUUUUGUUGUUUGUUUCAGGGAUGCUGUGUCUGUUACGAGGGUUAAGACUCUCCAUGCUUGGCUGAGGGAUCUCCUCUGGAGAUUUUGAGAACAGAAACAGAUUUCUCUCUCCCUUCUCUGGUAGCCUUCCUGCUCGUGUUACAAACAGCCCUGCUCAGAGGCAGAGGGUGAAUCCCUGGCAGGUCUUAACAAUCCUAUGUAUUAUAUGCAUGACUUUUCUCUGUCUCUGCCAUAGUAAGAAUUCUAGGCUAAAAAAUGUUCCUUUUCUUAUCAGUUUGUGUUGACAGAAGUUGGCAGAUGGUAGGGGUAAAAGGGCUUAGGGCAUUUCUGAAGCCAGAUGGUAAAAUACCCCAGCCCCACCUGGGAACGUCUGAGAGCUGAAAAAAGAAAAAAUCCACAGCAGCUCUCCUGAGUCCAUCCUGUCAUUUCUGUAGCUUUAGCAACACUCAAGAACCAUCUUCGUCAACACUGAGUUCCUGUGGCUUGUGUCCUAGAGAUGAAUAGAAUAGAAUGUGAUCACCUCCGAGAAUAAGUUCCUUUUACCAGAAAAAGCUGAGGAAUGAGACCCAUGCAAAGUGAGACAGAAACAUAGCAGUCCACUCCUGAUGUUCUUUUGUGGAAAGAGGGGAGAAAUAAUCCCAAACCAUUUGGGACUAGAAAAGAC